rnacentral:rRNA from 1 species
UACGAAGGGAGCUAGCGUUGUUCGGAAUCACUGGGCGUAAAGCGCACGUAGGAGGACAGUUAAGUCAGGGGUGAAAGCCCGAGGCUCAACCUCGGAAUUGCCUCUGAUACUGGCUGUCUCGAGUCCGAGAGAGGUGGGUGGAAUUCCUAGUGUAGAGGUGAAAUUCGUAGAUAUUAGGAAGAACACCGGUGGCGAAGGCGGCCCACUGGCUCGGUACUGACACUGAGGUGCGAAAGCGUGGGGAGCAAACAGG